AUGUCGCUGAGCGAGCGGCUGAAGCCCCGGCCGGCCGCGGACCCUGGCUCGGGCUCCGUGUUGGCCCGGAGCCGGUCGUUCGCGGGUCUCCUGCACGGCGGCCACCGGCGCACACCGAGCGCCGCCUCUUCCUCGGGAGGAGGACAGCCGCUGCACGGCGUCCCUGCCGAUGGCAGCCUGAGCAGCAGCAGCGGAGCAAGCUCGGGAUCGAGCACCCUCUCCAAGAGUUCAGUGCUAGGCCAACACCAUAGUCCGCAUGCACCUCGACGCAUCCUCCAAGGCAUUUCCUCAACGUGGUCUGGGAAACCACCCAGGUCUCCGCGGCCGGCCAGGACUCUGCUCAUCUUCAACGCCGUGGAAAGGGGUCUCAGGGAAUGUGUCAGUUUAGCGCAGGAGGACAUUCUCAGCUUGAGAUCCUCUGUGGAUAAUCUGUCACUCUCCUCAUCGCAGUCUCAGGGAAAACUUUACGAUUGCGAGAAGCAAUUGAAGGCAGCUGAGAGAUACCUCAAGCGAAUUGAGUUCCAGCUUUCCAAGGUGGAGGAGUUGCGCGAGCAUUACGAGGUGCAGCAGAGGAUGCGUGAUGGCGUGCGUAGCAUGGCGUAUGCCUACGUUCUGUCUCCUGGGUGUGAGAAGGACAACGCUUUGCAUGGUGUCCGCUCCGGGUACCGGGAGUGUGUUGACACUCUCUGCGUUCUGGAAGCCCACCUGGAGCAACUUAUGGGCACCCUGCAAUUUCAGAUGCGUGGAAUCCAGGGUUUUGCACGUCUCUGUGCUGGGGACGUCUUUGAGAUAAGUGUCAAGCACGGAGACCAGAAGUGGAAGUCACGGGGUAGGGUUCAGAAAAAUGGCCAGCAGGUCUGGGACAACCAGCAAGUCAUCAUGAAGGCCCUGCUGGGCGAAUUCCUCUUCAUCAAGGCAGUCGAAGUGCGUGGCCUUGGAAAGAACAUGCUUUUGGGCAACAAGUCCUGCGAGAUCAAGGAACUGUUCAGCUCUCAUUCACAGCUGAUGACCAUAAACCUCAACUCAAGUGGAUCGCUCAAGCUCAAUCUGGUCAUCACAUGGAAUCCUCUCCAUGGCUGCAUGGAAGAUAAUCUCUCUGGCAGCAAGCAGUCACCUCCAGUGCUUAGUGUGAUGAGCUCUCCCUUCUCAAGGCGGCGUGGGACAUCACCAUUCAGGGGGGACACCAUCCUUGAAAGGACAGGGAGCAUGGUGCAUGAACUGGAGACGGGGCAGCGUGACUGGCGGCCUCAGGUGACUGAGUGGGAGGGGCCUCGGAGAAGGAUGACCCCGCAAGGUAGCAGUCCUGGUGGCAGCCUAGGAUCGGCUGGAAGCAUGUCUGCACCCAGCUCGACUCUGACCAGCCCGAACGAGGAAUUCCCGCGAGCAGCUGCUGGUCAAACUCUUCUUGUCAACUCGUACGUUCACAACAGGCCACAGAGCCCUACGUUAAGGGCUGUGGAAACUACAACUUCUCAGAGGUGGUCAAGCAUGGGUGGUGACAGUGGCUCGGACUGCUGCAGCAGCCUCGACUUGGCCGAAUGUGGUGGAAACGUGUCUCCACCUUCGACGGCACAGUCACCGCUGCGUGAGGCCGUUCAGGGCCUGAGCUCCUGCCUCGAAGACAUCCAAGGCCACUACCCCGAGCUUCACUCACUUGAACAGAGCAUCGCCGAGCUGGAUCGCAUGCUUCGGAAACGAAGCCAUCACCGACGUGGAUCCACAGGCUCAAACGUGAGCAUCUCCGUUGAGAGUGCACUUGGCUGUUUCGACUUCCUCGACAGCGAAGAAACAGAGUCUUCCGAGAGCAGUCCUGUUAGGCAAAGUCCCUACAAGAGCCGGGAGACCAAGAAUGGUGGAACAGCAGACUCCGGUGUUGCACUGCUCAAGGAUCGCAAGAGUCCCAUCAGUGGCGGAUCCACACCGAGCCCAGUCACAGUCUCUACCGGCUCGGAUCAGCUGGACUGUGUCAUCGCUGUGCAUUGUCGCUACUGCAUUCGUCUAGUUGAGAGCUUGGGCACCUUUGGACCGCUCCGGUGUCGGGAGAGGACCUCUAUAGAAAAACUGCAGCACCAGUCUAGGCUUUUGUACAAGUUGCUGCGUGUGGCAAACAGAUUUGCUGAAGAUAGGAGGCAACUUUAUGGAUCUCAACUUGUUGAGGAGGACGACAUUGGUCACUUGUGGUGUCAGAUGGGCACCAACGAUGGCCUAGUCACAACCUUGACAAGGCUGCGUGACCCACUGGCCCGGCUCGUCCGCUCCCGCCUGAACAAUGGAGCCGUUUCUGAAAGAGUGGUGCUAGUGGUGCUACAGAAAAUGCUGGAUGUCACAAGACUGGAGCCUGACAUGCUGGUGACGGUGCUGCAGUUCCAGACAUACUUUGCCCAGCUGGGCAGCACACUUUUCAUGGAUCACGUGGAGCAGUUGGAAGCCGAGUUGAAGGUCCUUGACUCACUGUCCUCGCGUGAGCUACCCAUUGUGAAGAGGACACUGUCAGCACUAAAGAAUGUAGUGCCUACCAAGGAGCUGGUAUUUGCUGUUUCUCAAAUUCUGGUCUGCGGGGAUCGCCAGCUCUCGAAUCUAGCAGAACAAUACCUGAAGGCAGCAGCGAAAGUCACUUCCAAAGCUCAGAUCUGUGCGCUGCUGGUUGAAGGAUUGGAGGCUGAUGCUGCACUCACAAGGCAGGGAUGCUGCAGGGCCCUGUCUUUUCUACAAGCUCAGGAGUACAUGGAGGAGUUGGUGCACCUCUCCUAUGCAGACGAAGUGGCCAAAGUGCGACAACAAGCCAAAGAAGCACUGUUCUCGUUCGGAGAAGACGGGCGAAGGGAGUUCCAGCAGUCCCAGUUGGUUGCACACGGUUUCCAGGGUCUGACCGUCAAGUAGAGCUCUGUCAGCAGUAGCCUAGACCUCCACGAACAAAUGUGUGCUUGAAGAGCGUCUAUAUUUUGACACCCCUCUCCUCCCUUCCAAACACCCAUGCAUGCUCUCUAGUGAUUCCAGCUUCCAGUACUUAAGACCAAGCAAGCUACGAUCGAGCCUUUGUUUUUGAGUUCCUGUUUAUUUGCUGCUGCUGCUUUUGUAAAUAAUAUCAAGAUAUUCAGUGAGAGUUAUUUUAUUUCAGGUGUUUCAUGUUUUCUUUUUUAAUUUUUAAGCUGAUCAUGCUGGUUUCAUCUGAUGUUUAUUUACAGACUUUUUCUUUUCUAGGCGUUUUCGAUUCUUUCUCAUCAAGCAGCGCAGCUGUGCUGCACAGCCAUGUCUCUUUUCUUUGUUUUUAAGCUUUUCUUAUUUUUCAUAAUUUCUGUGAGAAAAGGUGAAGAGGAAGCUUUCACUCAGGGUCAACUCUGAUUUUCACAUGCAGAUACGUGCAGAGCACAGAAGUGCUCAGAUUAGGCUACUGGCAUUUUGAAUGAAAUUAAUCGAAAUUAAUCACCAAAUGUAGCAAGUUCAAAAUUAUGAAUCAUGUGGAUCUAAAAGUGCAGCUUACUCAAUUGGGAUAUCAUCUUUCACUGCAGAGUUGAGUUGCAAGCAUGAUGCCUUAGUUAAAUAUUCUGGUUUUUCAUCACUUUUUUUUUGUAAAGAAAUAGUUGAUAGCCUGAAUCAUCUGCACUUUACAGCUACUAUAGUCGGGUACAACUUAAGAAGUCAGGAAAGGUCCCGCCCACACGGCCGAAGUGAUUCAGCUGAUAACUUCCCCGACUAAAGAAAUAGCCCCACUCAUGCACUCGGCAAUGUUCUCCGAAGGCGGGGUCACCAGCCGUCCGGCUCAUGACGUCAGUCCGAAGUGCACGCCCAUUGGCGCAGGCUUGCGUGCAUCCGCCUUUGAGGAGGAAAUGCCGCGGACUUCUAAAGUUGUAUUCAACUAUAGAUUUUAGUUAUAUUUCUUUUGUGUGAUGGCCAAGAAGAUUUUUAUUCGAGUGUAUUUUAUAAGAGCAUGCGACGUGAGGCUUCCUCUUAAAAUACUGUGCUUAUUGUCGGGUGUGCCUGCAUUGCUCCAUGCAUAUCACUUGAGCGAAGCUACGUGAGAGUUGACAGCAUGCUCAUAUUGAUGACGCAUGUUUGCAAGCUUGCCAGCGUGCCAUGUUGCUAACGGGAAUCGACAGUGCAAUGGCUAUCCUGUUCCGAUGACUGAUCGAAGCACUACUAGUAGUACUUUCUCUGACCAGCGCCACCCAUGCAGUCUAGUCAGCAAAGUUGGUUGUUUGUUAUCAUUCCAGAGAGACGAAGAAAAGUCAGCGAAAUGUUUCUUUAUUAGCGUCGAGAGAUGUUCCAACCCCACUCCCGCCCCAACUUUUUUUUUUCUGUUGCCACUAAGAUGAAGCAUCUGCCAAAUCCUCGAGACUUGAGUGCUGGUUUUUAAUAAACAAGUUAUUGCAUGAC
rnacentral:misc_RNA from 1 species